rnacentral:tRNA from 1 species
GAUGAUGUAGCUCAUGUGGUAGAGCACUCGCUUUGCAUUUGAGAGGUAUGGGGUUCGAUACCCUGCAUCUUCA